UACGGGGGGGCAAGGCGUUGUUCGGAAUUACUGGGCGUAAAGGGCUCGUAGGCGGCCAACUAAGUCGGAUGUGAAAUCCCCAGGCUUAAACCUGGGGAACUCGCAUCCGAUACUGGAAUGGCUUGAAUCCGGGAGAGGGAUGCGAGAAAUUCCAGGUGUAGCGGUGAAAUGCGUAGAUAUCUGGAGGAAUACCGGUGGCGAAGGCAGCUCGCUGGGACGGUACUGACGCUGAGGCGCGAAAGCGGUGGGGAGCAAACAGGG
rnacentral:rRNA from 1 species